UCAAAAUAUAUUUGUCUUUUUUUUGGUUCAUCUAUUUUAGGUCUAUUCAGGCUAUGAUGAUAUCAAGCCUUGACUAUCAUUCUGAACUACCAGAGGUUGGGCUUCUGUCAUAAGCUACAGCAGCUUUAGAGCUAUUUUGUAUCAGUACUUUGGCAGAAAGGAGCUGCAAGACAGAUUUUACUGUCCUGUCCUACUGUCUUAUACAGUAAGUCUGAUUCUGUUCAUACAGAAUGCCAUUGCCACUCAAGGAGAAGACACUAGCUGGAGUAAAGGAAGGACCAAGUGCCAUUAUACUUUGGAAACAAGCAUGCUUUGGAUAAACAUUCCAAGACAGCAUAAAGACUGUUGCUAGGUCAUCACAAGAGCACAUGGAGAGCAUCUGACUGUUGGAGACAGAGCCUGGCUGAUGUGUGUGAUGAGAAAAAAACCCCAGCUGAAACUGAUAUACUGGCUUUAGCAUCAGGACAAGGUUGACACAGCAGAUCGAGGAGGGUAUUAGUUCUUUGGACACCUGCUGCAGCUGCUCUUCCUGGCAUCCUGAGACACUGUAGAGGAAGGAGGACUGUUGGGAAUUACCACUAAUCCAGUAUCUAACAGUUGCUUCUUCUAGCUAGAUACUAAUCCAGCAUCCAGCACAUUCUUCUUCUCCAAAGCCAGGUUCAGGGGUUCUCACUGUACAUGCUCAGAUUUUUUAGAAGUUUGUGUCUAUAUUCCUGCAAGCAGAGUCUGUGGAGACCUGCACUGGCCCUCCCUGUCUUCUAACACAUCACAGGAAUGACAUCCUCCAUUCCUGUCUUCAGUAAGGAAAUAGGGUAGAGAUUGGGAAGGCUGCCUUUUAACUUUAAAUGUAUCUCUCACCAGCCCCUAAAAUAAUGCUCAGCUUAGGGUUUGCUGCGGGUAUUAAGAGAUCAAUUGCAUUGCCAGGAUAAAAAUGAACCAUCUUUAUGCUUCAGUACAAUGCAAACAUUUUCUUCUACUUGGCAUUAGUGCACAAGAUGUACUGUGUUUCUAGUAGUAACUGAGAACUUGUAGAAGCAAAUGUCAGGUGCGUACAGGAAGCAGUGGAAAUGUGAUCAUCUUUGAUUCUAUCCAGUUGCUAAAAGAGGAGGUAUUUCUUUAAAUGAACCACGUGCAAUUUUGUACUGGCUUGCAUCAAACUGCAGUAUGUCACAUCUGAUAUUUACAGUAGUUUAUGUACUGAAAAAGGAUGAGGUGAAUUCAGGGUCAGGAGGAUACUGUAAAUGCUAUUCCUGCUGCUCUCUGUAAUCCUGCAUGCAUGUGUGAGGAAUA